rnacentral:lncRNA from 1 species
UGGCCACCAAAAGCUGGAAUCCGAACCAAACGCUCAGCUUCGAGACGGCUUUUGGUGGAAGCGCCUCCGUCCACAGCCCAUUUACCACAGACCACGAGAAGCCAACCGAAGUCCGUGUCUUCAGGAAGUCGGAUGACUUCUCGCAUUCCACACGGGUGAUUCCUUCGUCCCCAACCCUAAGGUUUCGGCAACCUGUCGUUCCCGUGUCUCCGCCGCCACUUCGGACGGUCUAGCUCCACCAUCGUCCGCCCAUCGCCACGGUAAGACUUUCUCCCCCUGUGCCAGUUGAUUUUUUCUCGUCGUGCCCUCUGUUUGGUCGCCAUCUGACAUCCGCCUUCUCCAUCGGAUGCUCUUUCUGCUAGACCUUCGCGUUGUUACCAAGGUCAAUCGCCGCCAUUUUGCCGGCAUGACACAUUUCGUCUCCUCCAUUACGUCGUCUUGUUCGUCCUUGCUUUUGCUCUAACUGCUCGUUCGUUGGCCUUGCAGGUGAAUCCAAGGUUGCAUUUUCGCGAUACGCUUCGAAUCCGUUCGUUGAUCCCGAUAGUUCACGUUGCUAGUGGCCAGUAUGUCGUUUCCAUCCUUCAAUCCUCAUUUCUCGAUUGGAUAUGAUUCAAAUCGAACCGUAUUUUGUUUAUUUGGCCCCUCACUGCUCCCUUUGAUUCGUUUCUAAGAGAACUUAGAGCGGAGUGAAUAGGUGAUCCUGUAAAAAUUUAAAACUUGUAGCCACAAAACUUGGUUAAGUGUUAGCACAAUGAAAUCAAGUGGCUAAGGACCGAGCUCUUGUGAAACACAAUGGUCACAAGGAAAACAAGCACAAGAGACACGGUGAUUUAUCCCGUGGUUCGGCCAAGUAUAACACUUGCCUACUCCACGUUGUGGCGUCCCAAUGGACGAGGGUUGCACUCAACCCCUCUCAAGUGAUCCAAUGACCGACUUGAAUACCGGUGUUUUCUUUCUUAUACUCUUUCCCGUUUGCGAGGAAUCUCCACAACUUGGAGCCUCUCGCCCUUACAAUUGAUGAUCAAAAAGAAGCACGGAAGUAAGGUUGGGAAGAGCAACACACACAAGACUCAAAGCACGAGCACAAUCACGCACACAAGCCACAACUUGAGCUCACAACACAACUCAAGGAGUUCUCUACUCAAAUGGAGCUCAAGUCACUAUCUCAAAGAAUCGAAUGCGCGAGAAUGGAGUCUUGGUGCUUAGGAAUGAUCAAGGAAUGCUUGAGUGACUCCUCCCUAUGCCUAGGGGUCCCUUUUAUAGCCCCAAGGCAGCUAGGAGCCGUUGGAACCCAACAAGGAAGGCAAUUCUUGCCUUCUGUCGGGUGGCGCACCGGACAGUCCAGUGCACCACCGGACAACCACUGUAGCAUGUUCGGUGCGGAUCUCCUUCCAUUCCUGGCGCAGCCGACCGUUGGAUCUUUGGGCUAGUUGGCGCACCGGACACUGUCCGGUGCACACUGGACAGUCCAAUGCCCCCAGCCGACCGUUGGCUGGGGCCACGCGUCGCGCGCGGAUUGCGCGGCCGACCGUUGCGCUGGCGGCCGUUGGCUCACCGGACAGUCCGGUGCACCACCGGACAGUCCGGUGAAUUAUAGCCGUAAGCCGCCGACGAAUUACCAAGAGUGGCCAGUUCGCCAGAGCCCAGCCUGACGCACCGGACAUUGUCUGGUGCACCCAGACUGAGCAGCAUUUGGCUGUACACAGCCAACUCUUUUCCAAUCCUUUUCUUUUCCUGAUUCUAGCACUUAGACAAAUAUAUUAGUACACAAAAACCAAUGUACUAAGUCUAGAACCAUACCUUCUUGUCGAUUUGCACUUCAUCCAUCAUUUGGUAUAUAAUUACUCACUCAAUAUGUGUUGGGCACUUAAUCACCAAAAUAUACUAGAAAUGGCCCAAGGGCACAUUUCCCUUUCAAUCUCCCCCUUUUUGGUGAUUUAUGCCAACACAUCAAAAAGCAACAAAUAGAGGUGCAACGUCAAUGCAAUUGAGAAUAAAAAUAGUCUUUGACAAGAUUUGACAUAUUUGGAUCGUUCUUCGCCACCACUUGGUUUGUUUUUGCAAAUCAAAUUCAUUUUCCUAUCUCUAAGUUAAACACACAUGUUUAGACACAAGGAGAGAUAAUCCAAGAGUAAAAAUGAUUAAUAGCCAAAAACUCCCCCUUUUUCCCAUAAUCAAACAUUCUCCCCACAAGAGACCAAAUUUUGAUAGUAAGAGUUAUUUUGACAAAUCAAAAGUUCUACUCUACUCUUUUUCAAAAAUUUUACAAGUGGUAGCUGAUCCAUUUGCUUUGGCCUUAUUUUCUCCCCCUUUGGCAUUAAGCACCAAAACGGGAUCAAUCUUGGCCCUUAAACCCCAUUGCCUCACCAAAAUCGUCAAUUACGAGUAAAAAGGCAAUAAGAGCAUGGAGAUGAACUUGGAGUAAAUUACCCUCUCAUCGGAGUGCAGUGGAAGUCUUGCAUGGUCCAAGUUCACCUUUCCCUUUCAAUCCACUUUUGAGACUCAAACAAGUAAACUCAAACACAAGGUUAGUCUCAAAGUGUCAAGUUGUAGCAUGCCUCCCCCUAAAUAAGUGCAUCACUUGCAAAUGGACUUGUGAGGUCCGGGGAUCAUGUGUACAACUUGAGCACCACAAAUGAACAAAAUAGAUUGAAAUGCAUAAAUUACAUGAUCAAAGGCAUAAAACACAUGUAUGUUAUAGAUCAAUCCAAGUUACGCGAAUCUAAGACAUUUAGUUCACUACGUAGCCUGCAAAAGGUCUUUUCAUCUAAAGGCUUGGUAAAGAUAUCGGCUAGCUGGUUCUCGGUGCUAACAUAAAACACUUCGAUAUCUCUCUUUUGCUGGUGGUCUCUCAAAAAGUGAUGCCGAAUGUCUAUGUGCUUAGUGCGGCUGUGUUCAACAGGAUUAUCCGCCAUGCGGAUUGCACUCUCAUUAUCACAUAGGAGUGGGACUUUGCUUAGAUUGUAGCCAAAGUCUCGGAGGGUUUGCCUCAUCCAAAGUAGUUGCGUGCAACAUUGUCCUGCGGCAACAUACUCGGCCUCAACGGUGGAUAGGGCAACGGAAGUUUGUUUCUUUGAACUCCAAGACACUAGGGACCUUCCUAGGAAUUGGCAUGUCCCUGAUGUACUCUUCCUAUCAACCUUGCACCCGGCAUAAUCGGAGUCUGAAUAUCCAAUCAAGUCAAAGGUAGACCCCUUUGGAUACCAGAUCCCGAAGCAAGGCGUAGCAACUAAAUAUCUAAGAAUCCGCUUAACGGCCACAAGGUGACAUUCCCUUGGGUCAGAUUGAUAUCUAGCACACAUGCAAACGCUGAGCAUAAUAUCCGGUCUACUAGCACAUAAGUAAAGCAAGGAACCUAUCAUAGACCGGUAUGCCUUUUGAUCAACGGACUUACCUCUUUUGUUGAGGUCGACAUGUCCGUCGGUUCCCAUUGGAGUCUUUGCGAGCUUUGUGUCCUUCAUCCCAAACCGCUUGAGCAAGUCUUGCGUGUACUUCGUUUGGGAGAUGAAGGUGUCGUCCUUGAGUUGCUUCACUUGGAACCCAAGGAAGUAGUUUAACUCGCCCAUCAUCGACAUCUCAAAUUUCUGAGUCAUCACCCUGCUAAACUCUUCACAAGACUUUUGGUUAGUAGAACCAAAUAUUAUGUCAUUGACAUAAAUUUGGCACACAAAUAAGUCACCAUCACAAGUCUUAGUGAAUAGAGUUGGAUCGGCUUUCCCAACCUUGAAAGCAUUAGCAAUUAGAAAAUCUCUAAGGCAUUCAUACCAUGCUCUUGGGGCUUGCUUAAGUCCAUAGAGCGCCUUAGAGAGCUUACACACAUGAUCGGGGUACCGUUCAUCCUCAAAGCUAGGGGGUUGCUAUACGUACACCUCCUCCUUGAUUGCCCAUUGAGGAAAGCGCUCUUCACAUCCAUUUGGAACAACCUGAAGGAAUGGUGAGCGACAUAGGCUAACAAAAUGCGAAUAGACUCUAGCCUAGCCACAGGAGCAAAAGUCUCCUCAAAGUCCAAACCUGCGACUUGGGCAUAACCUUGUGCCACAAGUUGAGCCUUGUUCCUUGUCACCACCCCGUGCUCAUCCUGUUUGUUGCGGAACACCCACUUGGUUCCCACAAUGUUUUGCUUGGGACGUGGCACCAGGGUCCAAACUUUAUUUCGCUUGAAGUUGUUGAGCUCUUCCUGCAUGGCCAACACCCAAUCCGGAUCUAGCAAGGCCUCUUCUACCCUGAAAGGCUCAAUAGAAGAGACAAACGAGUAAUGCUCACAAAAAUUAGCUAAUCUAGAGCGAGUAGUUAUUCCCUUGCUUAUAUCACCCAAAAUCUAGUCGACAGGAUGAUUCUUUUGAAUCAUCGCUCGGACUUGAGUUGGAGGGGCCAGUGGUGCUUCUUCCUCCACAACUUGUUCUUCUUGUGCUCCCCCUUGAUCACACGCCUCCUCUUGAGGAGCAUGUUCUUCAUCUUGAGUCGGGGGAUGCACCAUCGUUGAGGAAGAAGGUUGAUCUUGCUCUUGGUGUUCCUGUGGUCGCACAUCUCCAAUAGCCAUGGUGUGAAUUGCGUCCGUUGGAACAUCAUCUUCAUCUACAUCAUCAAGAUCAACUUGCUCUCUUGGAGAGCCAUUAGUUUUAUCAAAUACAACGUCGCUAGAGACUUCAACCAAACCCGAUGAUUUGUUGAAGACUCUAUACACUUUUGUAUUUGAGUCAUAACCUAAUAAAAACCCUUCUACAGCUUUGGGAGCAAAUUUGGAAUUCCUACCUUUCUUCACUAGAAUGUUACAUUUACUCCCAAAUACACGAAAAUAUGAAACGUUGGGUUUGUUACCGGUUAGAAGUUCGUAUGACGUCUUCUUGAGGAGGCGAUGAAGGUAGACCCGGUUUAUGGCGUGGCAAGCUGUGUUCACAGCUUCCGACCAAAACCGCUCGGGUGUCUUGAAUUCUCUAAGCAUCGUCCUCGCCAUGAAUAUAAGCGUCCUGUUCUUCCUCUCUACCACACCAUUUUGCUAUGGUGUGUAGGGAGCAGAUAACUCGUGCUUGAUUCCUUCCUCCUCAAGAAACUCUUCCACUUGAAGAUUCUUGAACUCGGACCCGUUGUCGCUUCUUAUAUUUUUCACCUUGAGCUCAAAUUCGUUUUGAGCUCUCCUUAGGAAGCGCUUUAGGGUCCCUUGGGUUUCUGAUUUAUCCUGCAAAAAAGAAUACCCAAGUGAAGCGGGAAAAAUCAUCAACAAUAAUAAGACCAUACUUACUUCCCCCGAUGCUGAGGUAGGCGACGGGUCCGAAGAGGUCCAUGUGAAGUAGCUCCAGAGGUCUUGAUGUGGUCAUCACAUUCUUGCUGUGGUGAGUACUUCCCACUUGUUUACCUGCUUGACAAGCUGCACAAGGUCUAUCUUUUUCGAAAGUUACAUUGGUUAGACCUAACACAUGUUCUCCCUUUAGAAGUUUAUGAAGGUUCUUCAUCCCAACAUGUGCUAGACGGUGAUGCCACAGCCAGCCCAUGCUAGUCUUAGCGAUUAAGCAUGCAUCUAGAUUGGCCUCCUCUUUCGAAAAAUCAACUAAAUAGAGUUUGCCGUCUAGUACACCCUUAAAAGCUAAUGAACCAUCACUCCUUCUAAAGACAGACACAUCUACAUUGGUAAAUAAGCAAUUGUAACCCAUAUUACAUAGUUGACUAACGGACAACAAGUUAUACCCGAGUGAUUCAACUAAGAACACAUUAGAUAUGGAAUGCGCGGAUGAAAUAGCUAUCUUUCCUACUCCUUUAACCUUGCCUUGAUUCCCGUCUCCAAAGAUGAUCGAAUCUUGGGAAUCUUUGUUCUUGACAUAGGAGGUGAACAUCUUCUUCUCCCUCGUCAUGUGGUUUGUGCAUCCGCUGUCGAUAAUCUAGCUUGAGCCCCCGGAUGCAUAAACCUGCAAGGCAAAUUAGGCUUGGGUUUUAGGUACCCAACUCUUGUUGGGUCCUACAAGGUUAGUAACAAUAGCCUUAGGGACCCAAAUGCAAGUCUUGUCUCCCUUGCAUUUGGCCCCCAUCUUUUGAGCAACCACUUUUUCAUUUUUACGUGAAAGAACAAAUGUAGUGUUGCAAGCAUGAAAAAUAGUGGUAGGUUUAUUACAGACUUUUCGAGGAGCAUGAGACACAAAAUUUCUCCUAGACCUACCAUUAACAUUGGAACUUGAAGCAAUCAUGGCAUGUGAGUCAAAAACAUUAUAACUCCUAUUAUAAUGAAAAUUUCUAGAAUAUUUUUUAUCAUGGUACAUGAAAGCAUGAUUCUUUUGACUACUACUAGCCAUUGGGGCCUUCCCUUUCUCCUUGUUGGAAAUGGGAGCCCUUUGACUUGUUAAGUUCUUGGCUUCCCUUCAAAAGCCAAGCCCAUCCUUAAUUGAGGGAUGUCUACCAACGGUGUAGGCAUCCCUAGCAAAUUUUAAUUUAUCAAAGUCAUUUUUGCAAGUCUUAAGUUGGGCAUUAAGACUUGCUAUUUCAUCAUUAAGUUUUGUAAUAGAAGUAAGGUGCUCAACACAUGCAUCAACGUUGAAGUCCUUACACCUAUUACAAAUCACAACGUGCUCUACACAAGAACUAGAUUUAUUUACUACUUCUAGCUUAGCAUUUAAAUCAUCAUUAAUACUUUUUAAGUUAGACACAGUUUCAUGAUAAGUAGAUAAUUCACAAGAAAGCAUUUCAUUUCUUUUAACCUCUAAAGCAAGAGACUUUUGCACACUUACAAAUUUAUCAUGCUCUUCAUAUAAGGAUCCUCUUGCUUUUCUAAAAGUCUAUUCUUUUCAUUUAGAGCAUCAAUCAUUUCAUUGAAUUUUUCUACCUUGGCUCUAUCUAAACCUUUAAAUAAGCUAGAAUAGUCUACUUCAUCAUCACUAGAAUCUUCAUCGCUAGAAGUAGUAUAUUUAGGAGUUUCUCGAGCGCUUACCUUCUUCUCCUUUGCCAUUAGGCAAGUAUGGCGCUCGUUGGGGAAGAGAGACGACUUGUUGAAGGCCGAGGCGGCGAGUCCUUCGUCGUCGGAGUCAGACGAAGAGCAAUCUGAAUCCCACUCUUUGCCUAGGUGUGCCUCGCCCUUCGCCUUCUUGGAGGCCUUCUUCUUCUCCCUCUUCCCACCUUUUUCUUGUUCCUGGUCAUUAGCAUUAUCGGGACAAUUUGCUAUAAAAUGACCAGUCUUACCACAUUUAAAACAGGAACGCUUUCCCUUUGGUUUGCUCUUAUUGGGAUGCUCCUUUCGUCCUUUUAGCGCCGUCUUGAAGCGCUUGAUGAUGAGAUCCAUUUCAUCCUCGUUUAGCCCGACCGCCUUAACUUGCGCCACCUUGCUAGGUAGCGCCUCCCUGCUACUUGUUGCUUUGAGAGCAACGGUUUGAGGCUCGUAGAUGGGCAUUGGGCCAUUCAAUGGCUCAUCAACGUAUCUUGCUUCCUUGAUCAUCAUACGCCCGCUUACAAACUUUCCGAGUAUUUCCUCGGGCGUCAUCUUGGUAUACCUAGGAUUCUCAUGGGUUGAGUUCACAAGAUGAGGAUCAAGUACAGUGAAGGACCUGAGCAUUAGUCGGACGACGUCGUGGUCCGUCCAUCUCGUGCUUCCAUAGCUCCUGAUCUUGUUGACCAGGGUCUUGAGCCUGUUGUACGUUUGGGUUGGCUCCUCCCCCCUGAUCAUCGCGAACCUUCCUAGUUCGCCUUCCACCAACUCCAUCUUGGUGAUCAUGGUGGCGUCAUUCCCCUCAUGAGAAAUCUUGAGGGUGUCCCAAAUUUGCUUGGCGUUAUCCAAGCCGCUCACCUUGUGGUACUCGUCCCUGCACAAGGAUGCUAGCAAAACAGUGGUAGCUUGUGCAUUUUUAUGGAUUUGCUCAUUAAUGAAAACAGGGUUGUCAGUACUAUCAAAAAGCAUUCCGUUUUCAACGAUCUCCCAAAUACUUGGAUGGAGAGAGAAUAGGUGACUACGCAUUUUGUGACUCCAAAAUGAGUAGUCUUCUCCAUCAAAGUGCGGAGGUUUCCCAAGUGGAAUUGAAAGUAAAUGAGCAUUGGAGUUAAACGGAAUACGAGAAUAAUCAAAAGAAAAGUUUGAGUUAACCGGUUUCUUUUUCUCGUCGUAGUCGUUGUCUCUUGGGGAAGAAGAAGACUCGUCACUGUCGUAGUAGACGAUCUUCUUGAUGCGUCUCUUCUUCUUCCCAUCUCUUUUCUUAUGACUCGAGCUAGAGUCCGAGGGCUUAUCAUCUUUUGGCUCGUUGACGAUUACUCCUUUGUCUUGUCAUUGACCACCAUCCCCUUUCCCUUAGGAUUCAUCUCUUCAGGCGAUUAGUCCCUUUCGUGAAGAGAAUGGCUCCGAUACCAAUUGAGAGAACCUAGAGGGGGCUGAAUAGGUGAUCCUGUAAAAAUUUAAAACUUAUAGCCACAAAACUUGGUUAAGUGUUAGCACAAUGAAAUCAAGUGGCUAAGGACCGAGCUCUUGUGAAACACAAUGGUCACAAGGAAAACAAGCACAAGAGACACGGUGAUUUAUCCCGUGGUUCGGCCAAGUAUAACACUUGCCUACUCCACGUUGUGGCGUCCCAAUGGACGAGGGUUGCACUCAACCCCUCUCAAGUGAUCCAAUGAUCGACUUGAAUACCACGGUGUUUUCUUUCUUAUACUCUUUCCCGUUUGCGAGGAAUCUCCACAACUUGGAGCCUCUCGCCCUUACAAUUGAUGAUCACAAAGAAGCACGAAAGUAAGGUUGGGAAGAGCAACACACACAAGACUCAAAGCACGAGCACAAUCACGCACACAAGCCACAACUUGAGCUUACAACACAACUCAAGGAGUUCUCUACUCAAAUGGAGCUCAAGUCACUAUCUCAAAGAAUCGAAUGCACGAGAAUGAAGUCUUGGUGCUUAGGAAUGAUCAAGGAAUGCUUGAGUGACUCCUCCCUGCGCCUAGGGGUCCCUUUUAUAGCCCCAAGGCAGCUAGGAGCCGUUGGAACCCAAAAAGGAAGGCAAUUCUUGCCUUCUAUCGGGUGGCGCACCGGACAGCCACUGUAGCAUGUCCGGUGCGGAUCUCCUUCCAUUCCUAGCGCAGCCGACCGUUGGAUCUUUGGACUGGUUGGCGCACCGGACAUUGUCCGGUGCACACCGGACAGUCCGGUGCCCCCAACCGACCGUUGGCUGGGGCCACGCGUCGCGCGUGGAUUGCGCGGCCGACCGUUGCGCUGGCGGCCGUUGGCUCACCGGAUAGUCCGGUGAAUUAUAGCCGUAAGCCGCCGACGAAUUCCCGAGAGUGGCCAGUUCGCCAGAGCCCAGCCUGGCGCACCAGACACUGUCCGGUGCACCACCGGACAGUCCAAUGCACCCAGACUGAGCAGCAGUUGGCUGUACACAGCCAACUCUUUUCCAAUCCUUUUCUUUUCCUGAUUCUAUCACUUAGACAAAUAUAUUAGUACACAAAAACAAAUGUACUAAGUCUAGAACCAUACCUUCUUGUCGUUUGCACUUCAUCCAUCAUUUGGUAUAUAAUUACUCACUCAAUAUGUGUUGGGCACUUAAUCACCAAAAUAUACUAGAAAUGGCCCAAGGGCACAUUUCCCUUUCAGUUUCUGACAACAGAUUUUGAGCUAGUCCGUAGAUCUAGUUGUUGUGUUCAUCACCGGCAUCACAUUCAACUGAGGUAAAUUUCGACACCCUUGUUUUCUUUGUGAGAUGUUUGUGUACAUGUUUGCCAGUGCUUGGUUAGUUGUUGUGCUCAUUAGUUUAAUGUGAUUGUACAUAUUGUCGUACUUAUUAAGUAAUUCCGAUGAACUAUAGCAUGUGUGCAACAUUGAUAUCAAAUUGUUGUUAGUGGUUUCGUAUUUAGUGACCGUAGCCACAUCUCUGUUGUUGCUGGUUUCUCAUAUUGUCAUGCAUGUUUUCGACCUGUACGACAAAUCUGAUUUUUGUUCAGUGUUUUAGGUUUCCUGUACUAUUGGCUCAUGUCUUAACUCAAAUCUUAUUUUCGGUUAGAUGUCUUAAUUUAAAUAUGAUUUUCGGUUAGAUGGACAAAUCUGGAAAAGUGGUAGCAAAGUGGGACAUAAGGUGUCACACCCGGUUUUGGAAGGUAACCGAAUGCGAACCAUGUACGUGCCAGAAUCAGAAAUUCACAUACACAAUGAUUACAUAAAUGACUCAUCAUAGCACAGUGCUUCGAAUAACAAUAAAGAGUAAGUAAUAGUAUUAAAGACUAGAGUCAUUUACAUAAUAUAAAUCAAAGUGCACAUAAUAGAAACGUAGCCAACGUAAAUAAACCCACCACAUGCAGUAGACUGGGGGGAGGUCGCUAGCCUAAUCCUCAAAUUCGUCAAAGUCCUGGAACUUCCGGAGAUCCGCCUCGACACUUUCUUCUCCUUCUUUACCUGAGCAUAGAUUGCACCAAAGGCAAUGUAACACCCUGAAUUUGGGGGUAUAAAAUUUCUUUGCUCAUAUUCACAAAUUCAGGUGUUACUUCUCUUUUCACACCUUUCCCCAAUCUCCUCUUUCUCUUUUCUAUAGAAGAAGAGUGGUUAUUUUUAUUUGUAAUUAUAAAUUAGUGGGCUAAACUCCAAGGGGUAUGAAAUGUUGCAUCAUGUCAAACCCUAAAUUCUACUUUUGUUUGGUGCAUAAUUCUUAGAAAUGCUAAUUUGAAUUUGUGGCUUGUUUGGAUUUGAAUCAAAUAGAGUAAAUAAAAAGAAAAGGGGAAACAAAUGCCAGAAUAAAAGAAAAAGGAAAGAAGCCCGCUCCCCCCGCCCCCUCGGCCUUUCGGCCCAUCUGGCCCAUCCCGCGCGCGCCUUCCCCCCCUCUUCUCUCUCUGCCCUGGCGGGCCCGCCCGUCAGCGCGACCGCCUUCCCCGCGCCCGCUUUCCUCUCUCUCUCUGCUCGCGGGCCCGGCCUGUCAGCUUCCUCGUCCCCGCGUAACCGCCGCCCGGUCCGCGUGUGCCGCGGACUCCGCGCCCACGUCGCGCGUGGAGCUCGCAACCACCUCGCCUCGGCCACUUGAGCCCAGAGCCUCGCUCGCCCUCUCCCCCUCCCUCAGUUGCGCACCUGCAGACCCCUCUCCCACCUCCCCCACGCUGCGCACACGCCAGAGCGCCGCCGCCAUUAAACCGCCGCCGCCCGAGCUCGUUUCUCCGUCGCCGUUGGAGCCCCGCCGUGCCCUCUGCCACGGUGAGCUCCGCCUCGACGUCCGCAACCCGGGACACGCCCCAAUUUCCCCUCUCCCUCCCCGAAUCCCUCUGCCCGCGCUCACCGCCGUUCUCUGCGCAGUCGCCGAGGUCCGCCACCGUCGACUCGGGCUGCCGCCGCGUCUCCGUCGCCAUCGAGGGGUCCCCGGAGUUCGCCUUGAGGUAAGGAACCUCUCCCGCCCCCUCCCGACCUUUUUAUUGCCCCCCCGUCGCGUUUAAUUGCUCGCCGGAGUUCUUUAGCGCCACCGCCGAGCCGCUUUGCCGCGGGCCGCCCCCCUCCGGUGUCCCUGCCCCGACCCAGUCCCCACCGGAAGGUUCCCCGCGCCCUCCCCAACCUCCCCGGCCGCCCAGGUCGCCCCAAGGACCCGCAGAGCCCCCGCGCCCCUCGUCUCCGGCGAGUUCUCCGCCGCGGGGACGGGCGCCGCCGCCUCUGUUAGCCGUAGGAGAAGGAAGCCGGCCACCCAAUCCCCGCCGUCCAUUCCAGAUCGAAUGGCCCUGUUUCAAUUAGGCCGGGCCCAACCCUAGCCGUUCGCCUGAGAUCCAACGGCCCAGAGCCGUUUCCCCCGCCCCCCGCCUCCCUGCCAUUUGGGCCCCGCUUGUCAGCCGUCCGCCUGCGCGCUGCCCGCCUGGCCCCGCCUGUCAGCCGUCCGCCCCGCGCUGCCCGCCCGGCCCCGCCUGUCAGCCGCUCAGACCGCCGCGCGCUCGCGCGCUCGCCCGCGGAUCUAAUCUCGGGCGUUGAUCCGAGAUCCAACGGCUAUAAGAGCCCGAUACCCCUUCGCCCGCGCUUUUUCUUAAAGAGACCCCCGCCUUUCCGCAAAUUAACCCGCCGUCCCUGGAUUUUCACAGUUAGGUCCUCAGACCUUUUAUUUAAUUCAAAAUAAGUAUUUAAGACAUAUUUUUAAUCCCUAAUCUUGUAAAAUGCAUAACUUUGUCAUAUGAACUCCAAAUUAGGUGCUUCAAAUUGCAAAAUGCUCACAAUAUUCCUAUCUAUCUAUUUAAAUAAUGUUUCCCUGCUGUUUUUAUGUCCCAAUUAAUAGUUGGUCAUUAGGGUAAAACUAAGGUUAUUGGAACCCCUAUUUGAGAUAAAUAAAGAUAGAAGACUUUAAUAAAAGUUGGAGCACCUAGGUUUAUGGACUUAACACCAUGUAAUGAUUUAACCCCACCACUGACUUAGACCUGAUUAGUGGAUAAUGAAUCAUUUUAUAUAGUCAUCUAUCCUAGACCUAGGGAACACUAGAUUGCCAAUCCUUUUCUACUGUAAACUUGUGAUCUCUUUGCUGCAUAUGCUUGGUUUCUGUUUUUUUGUUUGUUAUUUCCCAAGUACAUAGUGUGAAUGAUUACUUUACGUAGACAACGAGCAGUCUGUGUUUCUCGAGGAAGUGGCAGAAGAAGUCCCUGAUCAGCAGUUUGGUGAAGGCAAGUGUCCUCUGACCCAUUAUGUCCUAUUUAAUUAUAAUUCACUCUCCCGCAUUACUUAAUUGAGACCUAAGGAUUGACUAGCUUUAUACUUUACCUUAUCCUUGAUGACCUUUUGGGUUAUUAUUAGGGCUAGCAUUUUGCUAUUGCCUUAACCUAAUCAAUGAACAUGAUGUGACUAUUUAUGAUACGAUACUGUUAUCCUGAUGAUAUUGAUGAUCUUGUGAUUACUCUAGGGGACUCAGGCUGUUUCCUAAGUACCUCUCCGUAAGGACCUGUUCGUUGAGAGACCACCCGGGAUAACAGUGCAACCAUAAGGGUGAAAUGGGAUGCCCUUAGCUAAUUAAUUAGAGGAACUAGAGGUGUAGUUGCUUCGCCGUCGUGCCGUCAAUGGGGUCCAGGCACAGUGCUUGCUCUGCCGAGGCUGAGUGCCGAGGUUCUUUCGUUUUGCUUUUUUUGUUAGUCACUCUCCUGCGGGGAGGGGUACUGUGUUUAUCAAACUGGAGAAACCUAACGGGCAGCUAUGAUCUCUAGGAAAUCUUUGUAACAGCUACGUAGUGAUCCCCUGCCGGACCACCUAGGUAGUGGUCAAUGGGGAUUAGCUCUCCCCGGGUAGAAAGGGAAUCACGACUCAUGGGUAAAGUGUGCAACCUCUGCAGAGGGUAGUGAAAGUGAUAUAUCAGCCGUGCUCACGGUUAAGAGCAGCCUUGGGAUCCUCUUUGAUUAGAGAUACUCCGGAUACACUUCAGAUGAUGGUUAACGAUGGUGACUUUAAUUAUGCAUUCUAGUAUUCCUUCUCGGGGGAAGUACUUCUUGGGAUUAUAACUUGGGUUUUAUGAUAAAACCUGGCUCCUACUAAUAAUAAAUACCUGACCAACUAAAAGCAACUGCUUGAGCCUAACCCCACAUAAAGCUAGUCCACUUCAGCCAAACGGGACAUUUGCUGAGUACGUUGAUGUGUACUCAUCCUUUCUUUACCACAAAACACCAGGUUGUCCACGUUGUAACCACUGCUCAGGAGAAGGUGAAGCCGUGGAAGGAGACUUCCAGGAGUUCCAAGACUACGGUGAAUUCUAGGUGUGGGUUGGCGGCAACCCCCAGUCAGCUGCCUGUGAAGGCCUCAUCUUUACUGCGUUUCGCUAGCACUUUGAUUUAUCUGUUAAGUUGAUGACUAUGUGGAUGUCUACGACUCUGUGAUGUAAUAAGUUAAUACUCUUUUAUGUUAUCAUUCAAGCAAUGUGCGUUGAUGUUCAUUUAUGUAACCGCUGUGUACGUGAGUUCUGAUCCUGGCACGUACAUAGUUCGCAUUCGGUUUGCC